rnacentral:rRNA from 1 species
AAAUGACUUUUGAACUUAGUGGCGGACGGGUGAGUAACGCGUGAGCAACCUGCCCAUGUGCCCGGGAUAACUUCUGGAAACGGAUGCUAAAACCGGAUAGGUAGCAGACAAGCAUUUGACUGCUAUUAAAGUGGCCUUGGCCAUGAACAUGGAUGGACCUGCGGUGCAUUAGCUGGUUGGUGAGGUAACGGCCCACCAAGGCGACGAUCGGUAGCCGACCUGAGAGGGUGAUCGGCCACAUUGGAACUGAGAUACGGCCCAGACUCC